UUUUGGACAAUGGGCGCAAGCCUGAUCCAGCAAUGCCGCGUGAGUGAAGAAGGCCUUCGGGCUGUGAACCGCUUUCAGCAGGAACGAAAAUGACGGUACCUGCAGAAGAAGGAGCGGCCAACUACGUGCCAGCAGCCGCGGUGACACGUAGGCUCCAAGCGUUGUCCGGAUUUAUUGGGCGUAAAGAGCUCGUAGGCGGUUUAGUAAGUCGGGUGUUAAAACUCUGGGCUCAACCCGGAGAGGCCAUCCGAUACUGCUGUGACUUGAGUUCAGGAGGGGAGCGGGGAAUUCCUAGUGUAGCGGUGAAAUGCGCAGAUAUUAGGAGGAACACCGGUGGCGAAGGCGCCGCUCUGGACUGAAACUGACGCUGAGAGCGAGG
rnacentral:rRNA from 1 species